AACACGGGCCCUGUCCACACAUAUGUGGAUAUUUUUGACGUCUCUGCUUUGACAGUAUCUGCUACAGGAAACCAGAUGUGCUGCAGCAGUGAAGCAGAAAGAGGACUGGAAUUACAGGCCUAAUUGAAGCCAAGCUACUUACCACUGAUGGGAUCAAUAGCAGAAUGAACAGUGGACACACACCAUUUUCAUUACUUACUGCAGUUCAAUACAUAGGCAGCCACCACAGUGAUCAAUAAGUGCAGCAGCAAUGAGAAGGCUGCAGAAACUGUCAAAAGAAAGAGGUUUAGAUGAAUUAUAUGUGCUAAUGUGGAUGAGUGAUAGUGAUAUAAACCAAACAUGGUUGAAAAACAACGUUGACUUUUUUCUUUUUAGCAAGGUGAAUUACAUUCAUUCAUCAAAUCAUCAUUGUUGAAGAGACACAGUAAAUUCACAUGAAAGUGGUGGCAAAAUUGCAAAUUAAAGGGUAAAGGAAGAGACUUUAUAAUGAAGAAGGCACGUUUGAAGUCAGAGUUUUCCACUGGUGAGAUGUACAAGUGCAUAAUAACACAGGUGAGUGCAUGUCCACUGUUUGUGUCCAUACAUGUGGGCAUGUGGGAAGACAUUCAAAGACAUGAGGUGUUGUCUUAGGCGGUCUUUCCUCUCUAUGUUACUGUGAUAGGAAAUCAAUAGGUUGAGUGUAUCAGUCAAAUGUGCACGAGAAAACUGUCAUUCACAUCAAGCCUUGAAA